GUAGGUGAACCUGCGGAAGGAUCAUUAACAAGAAGCAUCAUUGUUUCAAUACCAACCACCGCGAAAUACAGUGUGGAGUUGACUACCGUAGUUUUUUAAUCGCUUUAUGAAUGCGCAUUGUAAUUCGAUAUUUAACUAUGAUAGACUGAUACUCUGCUGGCUUUAAAAAGAACUUAACCUUUGCUGUUUUUUAAAAAAGCCUUAAAUGGGAUAUCAAGCCUAUGAAGGUUGAGUCUUUUGUAUCGAACGAUACAAUUUUAUUACAAAUACUGAACAACUCUUAGCAACGGAUAUCUUGGUUCUC
rnacentral:misc_RNA from 1 species